rnacentral:sRNA from 1 species
GCCUGGCGUGGUGGCACAUGCCUGUUAUCCCAGCAGCUCUGGAGGCUGAGGCAGGAGGAUCAUGAGUUCAAAGCCAGCCUCAGCAAUUUAGUGAGACCCUAAGCAACACAGUGAGAUCCUGUCUCUA